UCGGCUGCAUUAACAUAAAGGGCGGGAGGCCACCUGAGCAGUGAGGCUGCUCAGCCAACCUGAAAUGGACCGUAAGUGAAACAGCUACCUAUAUUAUUCCCAUGAUUGUGUCUUUUGCCGCCGUGUUAUUUAUGGACCACAUCCAGGGGGCCGUCUGAUUGGAGGAAAAUAGAGCCUUUUAGGAGACAUAAAUUCAAGGUCUUAAAAGGGGCAAUAAAUAGAGAGUGCUGUGUCAAAGUCUUUGGCCAUCACUAGCUUUGUCGUUUUAUUUGACUAAUACAAUUAGCAAUAUUAUCCCCCCCCGCAAAAAAAAAACAGGGGGUAUGAUGCCUCUCACAAAAAGCCAGCUCCUGCGUGAGCGCCCUUACGAUGAGGUUUGUGUCAGUUCAUGUUUAGGGGCUGUGGCUCUCCUUUCCCACUUGUAAAUCCUGUAAAAUUCCAUCCACCGGAUUGCAUCAUACUAAGAGUUUGCAUGUCAUCUCUUGUCUCUCUCAUCCUCAUUUGAACCUGUUCUCAAUAUGAUGCAUUGCAACUCGACGGCAUUAAAGACCGUGGCCAAAAGCACAAUCCUAAAAUAUUUUUAGUUCACUAUUGAUGGAAAUUGCGCAUUACUAUAGUUGGCAGGGCGUAACUUUUAAGACAGCUCCUGUCUUUGGAUUUCAUUCGAUUCUGCAGACAUCCCUAAUAUUGUGGCCAGCGCGUGUAUUACUUUUGCAUGAGACCGAGGCCUGAACUUCUGCUCGCUGUGACAUUGUUGUGUGCUUGAACCGUUGUCGCUGUGCAAAAGCAGUGCAUAUAGGACGUGUGUUCAUCGUCGGCUUUUUCAUUCACUGUAGAGCAUCUUCAUUAUUACACAGAGGCAGACUUGGUGCCCACUCUGCAUGCGGCAGUAUGCCGUGCGGAGUAAGAAAGCUCCACCGGAUUAAGAGAAGCCGCUCUAUUACUCUUUAUUGUUUUUUUUUUUUGGUUUUUUUUAUCCAGACUAGCGGUCAUUAUUGGCGGACAGCAGUCUGUCGACAUGUAGGCGGGAAUCUUCUUAGCUGGCAGAUUAUAUAGUACCCCUCCCGAGUCUCAAUCCUCCUCCCCUUCACGUAUCUUGUAGGAUGUAGGCAUAUCAACAGGGCAUUGACAGAGGGACACGUUGGAGAGCUGACUCGCAGAAUGAAAGGCGCUUUGAAUUGCUCGUUGCUGAGAGACAGCAAAACUGUCAGGCAUGUGCUGUUGCCUGUCUUUUCACGGGAGAGGGAAGGACCCGAGCAGCCGCAUGAAUAGCGAGGAGGCUACCUGGGAGGCAUCUCCGGGCUUGUCAGAGACAAGAAAUCUCAUCCACGCUGCCAAGAAUUACAACUCGAGUGACGAGUAAAGCCCAAAAUAGCAGUUGUCUCUGCAUAAUUGGAACUAAUGCAAGUUGCAAAAAACAAGUGGGGUGUACAGUAAAACAUGACACUUUUUGCCAUUGGGCGGCUUUGCGUUUCUGACAACUUCCUGACCUUGUAGAUUGCAAUUAUUUGCUUCCUUUCCACCUCUUGCAUCCCUCCCCUAAAACCCCCUCGGAUAGCCAAAGCAGCAUUUAAUUGUGGAGGACUGAGCCGGGGGUAAGGAGUAAUCAGAUGAGGACGCGGGCAGGGGGAAUCACGUGGGCACACAUACUGGCUAACCGGGGAUUAAUAACACUGGCAUCUUGAUUGGAGUUCAGCCGGAGCGGGAGGGUGGGAUGGAGCCCGGAGUGGCGGGGAUGACGAAAAGCGCAGGAAAAAAAGGGAGACGAACGGGACAGUUAGAAUGACAGGAGACGAUCGAGGACUGACAGUGGAGAGACAGAGAAACAGGGAGAGAUGAGGGCAGCGAGUUAGAAUCGUGAGAGGGAGUGGGAGGAAGAAAGAGUGGGAAUUGGAGGCAGUGCAGUGCGCUGCAGAGCAAAGGGGGGGGGGGGGGGAGGUGGGGUGCGAGAGAGAGAGAGAGCGCUGUGGAGAUGAGCUGUAGAGACGAGAAGCCUCUGCUGUUGAGAGCCAGUGAGACGCUGGAGGGCUGCAAGAGGAGACGCAGGUCCAAAAGAGAGGUUGAGGGACUCCAGGGACAGGAGCGGGGUGGUAAAAGGUAGAAAAAAGGAGACGGGGUGAUAACAUCAGAAACGGGAAACGAGGCUCGGGUGGUUUGAGAAUGAGCUGCAAGCGGGAGCAAAUCGGAUAAAAGUUGGAGAGAAAACGGCAGGAGUGGGAAGCGAAGACGGAUCGGGGAGAUACUGCCAAAGUUGAUGUCAAAAGUGGGAGGAGAUUUAUGGCAAAAGAGAAGGAAGCUCUCACUAUCUCAGGAGUCCGUCCCCCCCGUGCUUCUCGUGGACAUCAUCCGUCAGCAUGUUCUCUGACAGCAGAGCGCCGGUGGCCAAGGAGCACAGAGCCUUCAAGCCUCAUGCCCCUCACUUCAUCCCGUGGCUACGCAACAGCCUCAAGUCCCAGCAAAGCGCUGACCUGGGGCUCAACGGGCCCUACAAAUCCAAUCCCGAGCUCCACGACAACCUGGCCCUGACGGAGAGAACCAAAGGGAUCGGGAUUUUCUCCAUCCCGGAGAAGAACAAGACGAAGAAGAGCGAGCUGCGUUGCAACGGCGUGGGAAUGGCCAGGAUGCUGCCCGUGGUGCUGAGGGGCCACCACAUCUUGGGAAAACGGAAGGAAGGCAGUCCCGCCAAGUCUAAGCAGUCUUCAGAGGUGGAACUCGAUCCCAUUCGCCACACGAGCCUCGGUGGCGCUCCCACGCCUGGCUCCCCGCUCACCAAAUACGGGCCUCUUGUGGGAAGUCCCUCGGUUCCUACUUCCGCUCUUCUAACUGAAGGUUCAGACUCUAAGGUUGGCGUCUGCAUGGAGGAAAGCAGGGAAGAUGUUUGGGACUACGCCGGCCAUGUUAUUCAUCAGAGAGACCUGCAGUCAUCUGUCUGGCUCAGCUCAAACCCUCAGGGAUCAUCGAAAGAUGGACAGCGUGGCUUCCGAUCUACUUUCAGCUACAUCAGCAAGAACUGUCAGAGCCAAAGAGACCUGAGCGUGCUCAGAGAACCACCUGCGGAGGGCUCCGGGGCCCCGCUCAAUGGAGUCAUCUUUUCCACCGAGGUUCCUCACAGAGGUCUGGGCUUUACCACCACUCUGCGAGGUCCGGGGAAACACGGCAAGCGCAUUCCAGCGUUGGGCGCGAGCCAGGCCAGGUGGCUCAGGCACAAACCAAAGAGUCAGGAGGACUCGCAGAGGACGGGGACGGACUGCAAUCGAAAAACGGUUCGGAACCAGCUCAAGCGGGUGGUGGAUAACCUGGAGCAGGUUCUGACUGCACUGAGGGAUGUUCAACAGGAAAUGAAAGAGGUAGUUCAUCAGAUCGACUAUCUGACCUCCUGCAUCGACCUGGAUGAAGAAGAGCAGCACCAGUCAGCAGGAGGUGAGAGCUGCUCUUCUUCUGGCUCCAAUGAAGUGACGGUGAUCAGCGCCCAUCCGAGGCCCUCGGUGUCAGUAGACCACAGAGGGGCCACUUUCACUCUGAGGAGAGACCAUCCCUGUCGGAGGGAAUCGCCUCCAGUUGACUUGCCAUGCGAACUGAGCACAGAGUUGACCAGAACUAUUCGGUUUGGAAGUUCUCCCCGACGUGGAGGGUUACUAACGUUGGUCAACAAUCCCGAUUCUUCAACUCAGCCUCCCCCCACGUUGUCCCCUCAAAGAAGCCUCCCCGUCCGGCCGCCCACCCCCGGACUCUCCCCGCUGACCGUCAACCUUCCCAAGUCUCCUCCAUCAUCCCCAGGAGCCUCAUCCUCCGUCAUGAUCAGCCCCAUCUCCCCCGUGUCCCCAAAAUGUCAUCCGACCGCCGUGCUCGGCCCAUCUGUCAUCAUCGAGCCGCCGCGAAGCGACCACCCGGCGACCGUGCGCUUCUGUCCGUCCGCGACAUCUCGACACCCAUCUGCCAGCUGCCCACCCACAGACCCGGAGACGCCGGUCCACGCGGAUAGAGAGAGGCGAGCGUCAUCGGCGGGGCCGCCUCUGGCGGGGGCCGUCAAACUGCCAUCUGGGCAAGGCCGCAGGGGCCGCAAGCCUCCGCCUUACCCUCACAACAGACUCUCAGACUGCGCAAAAACAACGCAGGAUCCCCGCAAAGCUCCUCCGUACCCUGAGAAAAGAAGACUGCUCUCAACCACGGUGUGAGACUGCGGCCCCUCCAAAACCAAGAGAGUUUCAAGGCCCGGCCACAAUGAGAUGAGACAGACCAGGUUUCCAAGGUGACAGAACAUAGACUUGGGCCAUCACUAAGACACGGUUUACAUCCUGUUGGGACCACCGAGGAA